rnacentral:sRNA from 1 species
UUGCGACGCCCUUGUCGGGCGUUUCCUCCCUAGACUCAAGGCCGCUCGUCUGAGCGGCUUUUUCUUUUCGCCUCC